rnacentral:rRNA from 1 species
UACGUAGGGUGCGAGCGUUAAUCGGAAUUACUGGGCGUAAAGCGUGCGUAGGCGGUUCGUUAAGUUCGUCGUGAAAGCCCCGGGCUCAACCUGGGAAUGGCGAUGGAAACUGGCGGGCUUGAGUAUGGCAGAGGGGGGUGGAAUUCCGCGUGCAGCAGUGAAAUGCGUAGAGAUGCGGAGGAACACCGAUGGCGAAGGCAGCCCCCUGGGCCAAUACUGACGCUCAGGCACGAAAGCGUGGGGAGCAAACAGG